UCUUGAUUGGUCUAGUGGUUAGGAUACCUGCUUGUCAUUAGAACAACAAGUCGCAGGUGGCCGGGGUUCGAUUCCCCGAUCGAGAG